rnacentral:rRNA from 1 species
AUGGCUGUUCAUCUACCUUUAUCCUUGGAAGCUCAAGCAGAAGCCCCCCCCCCCCGAGUACUCGGGUUCAAAUACCCAUUGUUUUUUUUGUUUCUUUACUAGCUUCAUAUAAUUCUGAAAACACAAGUUUUCUGGAAGCCUCUUGCUCAUAUCUCUCAUCAAAGGGUGCUAUUCGAUAAUGUUUCUUUAGCAGAUCCCCCGCUAAUCCGAUCGUUUACGAGUGGAGUGCAUAAGCCCUUAUUGAAGUAG